UACGUAGGGUGCGAGCGUUGUCCGGAAUUAUUGGGCGUAAAGGGCUCGUAGGCGGUUUGUCGCGUCGGGAGUGAAAACACCGGGCUUAACUCGGUGCUUGCUUUCGAUACGGGCAGACUAGAGGUAUGCAGGGGAGAACGGAAUUCCUGGUGUAGCGGUGAAAUGCGCAGAUAUCAGGAGGAACACCGGUGGCGAAGGCGGAUCUCUGGGCCUGUUCUGACGCUGAGGCGCGAAAGCUAGGGGAGCGAACAGG
rnacentral:rRNA from 1 species